rnacentral:rRNA from 1 species
GACGAACGCUGGCGGCGUGCCUAAUACAUGCAAGUUGAGCGCUGAAGGUUGGUACUUGUACCAACUGGAUGAGCAGCGAACGGGUGAGUAACGCGUGGGGAAUCUGCCUUUGAGCGGGGGACAACAUUUGGAAACGAAUGCUAAUACCGCAUAAAAACUUUAAACACAAGUUUUAAGUUUGAAGGAUGCAAUUGCAUCACUCAAAGAUGAUCCCGCGUUGUAUUAGCUAGUUGGUGAGGUAAAGGCUCACCAAGGCGAUGAUACAUAGCCGACCUGAGAGGGUGAUCGGCCACAUUGGGACUGAGACACGGCCCAAACUCCUACGGGAGGCAGCAGUAGGGAAUCUUCGGCAAUGGACGAAAGUCUGACCGAGCAACGCCGCGUGAGUGAAGAAGGUUUUCG